rfam:Canis lupus familiaris chromosome X, whole genome shotgun sequence.
CGGGGGAGGAGGGAUCCUGGGCUGUGUCCCGGUGCCCUGUGCUCUGGAGCCUGCGCUGUUGGAUUCGCGCUCCCGGGCCGCGCAACCCCCU